AGACGGGGACCCGCACAAGCGGUGGAUGAUGUGGAUUAAUUCGAUGCAACGCGAAAACCUUACCUACCCUUGACAUGUCCGGAAUCCUGCAGAGAUGCGGGAGUGCCCGAAAGGGAAUCGGAACACAGGUGCUGCAUGGCUGUCGUCAGCUCGUGUCGUGAGAUGUUGGGUUAAGUCCCGCAACGAGCGCAACCCUUAUCAUUAGUUGCUACGCAAGGGCACUCUAAUGAGACUGCCGGUGACAAACCGGAGGAAGGUGGGGAUGACGUCAAGUCCUCAUGGCCCUUAUGGGUAGGGCUUCACACGUCAUACAAUGGUCGGUACAGAGGGUUGCCAAGCCGCGAGGUGGAGCCAAUCCCAGAAAGCCGAUCGUAGUCCGGAUUGUUCUCUGCAACUCGAGAGCAUGAAGUCGGAAUCGCUAGUAAUCGCGGAUCAGCAUGUCGCGGUGAAUACGUUCCCGGGUCUU
rnacentral:rRNA from 1 species